rnacentral:rRNA from 1 species
UUCUGGCUCAGGAUUAACGCUGGCGGCAUGCCUAAUACAUGCAAAGUCGAAUGGUUUAGCUUGCUAGACCAUGGCGAACGGGUGAGUAACACGUAGGUAACCUACCUUAAGGACGAGGAUAACCUUUGGAAACGAAGGAUAAUACUGGAUAGGACAUUAUAAAUCACAUGAUUAAAUGUUUAAAGGAGCAAUCCACCAUAAGAGGGGCCUGCGGCGCAUUAGCUAGUUGGUGAGGUAAGGGCCCACCAAGGCGAUGAUGCGUAGCUGGACUGAGAGGUUGAACAGCCACAAUGGGACUGAGAACGGCCCAUACUCCUACGGGAGGCAGCAGUAGGGAAUUUUCGGCAAUGGGCGGAAGCCUGAACCCGAGCAAUGCCGCGUGAUCGAAGAAGUAUUUCGGUAUGUAAAGAUCUUUUAUUUGGGAAGAAAAAACAAAUUGACUGAACCAAAUGAAUAAGCUCCGGCUAACUACGUGCCAGCCGCCGC